GUAGGUGAACCUGCGGAAGGAUCAUUAACUAAUUCCAACAUUCGUGUUGUAUAGGAGGGGGGGGGCGUGAGUGAGGUGGGAGAGGGGAUUCCAUUCUUUCCUCCCUCUCUACUCUCCUUCUCCUAUACGUGUGUGUCAUGUCUAUAUCUAUAUAGAUAGAUAUCUAUCUAUGUUUUAUAACACGACACAAACAGCACACUCAUUCUUGCUCUUACAUUUACUUUUACAGACAACUCAUGGGACGACCAAG
rnacentral:misc_RNA from 1 species